GGCAGGAAGGCGCAGGAGGGCCGGGUGCUGGCCCCAAUGCGCCCGCCACUCCCGGCCGGGUCCCCGCAGUCUUUACGUAACUACGCUGCUCCGAGCUGUUCGGUCUUGUCUCACUAACUUUGUUUUAAGGUGUGUGUGUGUGUGUGUGUGUGUGUGUGUGUGUGUGUGAGACAUGUCCUUAAGGAAAGUCUCAGGCGGAUCUCCCUCUCCCAGCUCGCCCUCCUGGCUUCUCUUGGCCUCUGGUGCCCGAGCUUUCAUGCCAUCUGUGCUGUCCCACUUCCUGCCUCUCCCCAGCUCACUGCUCGCCCCGUCCGACGCUGGGAGCCCCUCUAUGCCCGAGGGAUCAAUGUCCGCGGAAACUCCGCCACCCGCGUCCCAGCCCCGGCCCGAACAGGUCGAAAUUGGCCGCCAAGGAAAACAAACCACCCUCGGAACAGGAGGGCUGGGCAGAGCGCGGGCUCUGGGCCACCGCGGGACCCUGCCCGAGGGGACGGCGGCUGGGGGACGCACAGAGGCCGGGGAGAACGUGAGGAAGGCUCACUCACCACCAGAUCGGGGAAGGGAACGGCAGUCCUGGUGCUUCCGGUCCCCAGGGACAGUGUAGCCGGUUAGCGCCCUGGCUCUGCGACCACUGACCGCCGAGUCUGCCCAGGGCUGCUGGCCUCUUCAGCCAGAAGGGAUUUCUGACAACUUAGGCUCUGGACUCACAGGCUCAGCGGCCAUGGCUCACGGGCCUAGCCGCUCCGCUGCAUGUGGGAUCUUCCCGGACCGGGGCACGAAACCGUGUCCCCUGCAUCGGCAGAUGGACUCUCAACAACUGCACCACCAGGGAAGCCCGGUACUUGUUUUUUAAUCACAGCAAAAGCCAGAAACUCAGCUUCACAAAGGAAUGUGCCACCGUCCAAGCUGAAACAGAACUGCCUGGAUCCAGUAGGUGUCUGUCCUACAGAGAGGACCAUAUCACCACGUGUUCCUUGAACAUUUAAAAUAUCCUGCAGUACCCCGGGAAUUUGCUGUGGCACCCCAGGGUGCCUUGGCACAAAGUUUGGGAACCAUGAUUCUUGGGUGGGCCCGAGAUGCAUGGGUCAUCUUGGCUUUUCUGCCUCCCCCAUCCCCUUCUUUGCUGCAGGUGCUCCUCUUCAUGUGUCCUACCUUGUGUCUAAUCCUGCUGUGUGUUCAUUGGCUCUUACUAUUGUCCACAUCUUUCCAUUUUAGUCUGUAGUUUUGUUAGUGUUCUAAGAGCCUCUCCUCUCCAGUUCAGAUCCCUGGUGAAAUUUUUGCCUCCUCUUGUCUCUCUGGAAGGUUCUCCUUGUAAAGACAGGCUGUUGGAUCAGAUGACUUCCCCAGUGCUCUUUGAGAUGGUGAUAAUACCAAAUGCUCUGGGUGCCCAGGACUCUGCCCAGUGCUGUGGGGCCAUGGUCUCACCCAGCACCCCCUAGAAGCAUCUGUCUCUGCAUUCUGGGCAAGGAGGCUCAGUGAGGGUUAUGAUACAACUCUCCCCGGGUCCCCAGAGGGAGUCAAGGAAGGAUUGGGGUCUCAGUCUCUCUGAGACUUGUGUAUCUGGAGAUAAUGUGUUCCUCACAAGAGUAAGUCCCUCCAAGAUUUGAAUACUGGUGGCGGGACUCAUAAUUCUGAAGGCUGUGUGGCAGGAGCCUGAAAAGCUUAUGGCUGGGAUGGAGAGGGCAUGCAGGGAGGCAUGUGUCCACAGGAGAGCAAACUUGGUCUGUGUCUGCUCAUCUUUCUGAGCUGACUCCUGUGGAUGAAGGGUGAGGUACCUGUUGGGCUGGGUUACCUGCCCUCUGGAGUCCCUGGAGAGAGCAUUUGCAGAGGUUUGAGGAAGUCCCUUUGAGAACAAAUCCAUCUGUCUCAAGAUACCAUCCCAUAGCUGGUUCUCCCCUCACAUGGUUACCUCUUCUAAGUUCCCCUGAGAGUUCCAUUUUGAUUUUGAUCAGAGGGUCUGAUUUAUGGAAAUGACUGGAACCUUAGGUCAGCCCCCUCUUUGCACAGAGAAAGUAGGCUCAGGGUGAGCAGCAGAGAGUGAGGAUGAAUGCACCCUGGUUUCUAGAUCUCAUACCCCAGGGAUUCUUCACGCCUUUCAGGACAUCUGCUCCUGGAUCACCAAGCACCCAGCCUCUGGAUGUCGAAUGGGAAGCUAUCAUCAAAGGCUUGUGGGACAAAUAGCCCCCAUAAUCCAGUCUCCAGUGUGCAGCCCUACCUCAUGUGUCUUUCUGUGUUAGCACCCUAACCUUCCAUCCCCUCCACUUAGGACUUGGAGCGCAAGAGACAUGGCUGGUCCUAUUCUGGUUCCAGGUUGCAUUAUUCUUUUUGGUUUUUUUUUUUUGGCCACACCAUGCAGCUUGCGGGAUCUAAGUUCCCCCACCAGGGAUUGAACCUGAGCCACUUCGGUGAAAGCGCCGAGUCCUAACCAUUGGACCGCCGGGGAAUUCCCAGGCUGCAUGAUUCUUGAGCCUGCUCUCCUCAGAUGGACAGAGGUGGCCUGAUGUUGUGGGAAUUGUGGAUCUCUGUGUGGGGAGCGAAGGGAGGGUGGAAUCCAAGAGUCAUGGAAGUAGGGCUACUGAGUUUUCUAACUUCCUAAGUAGCCACGUGGUGAAUUCUGCUUAAAGGAAUGAAUGAACUCUCUCAAUGCUGGCAGCACUCAGUCAUAGAAUCCUGAGGCCCAGAGCAGCUGAAUAAGUAGAGCCGUCAGAUCUUGGCAUCACUUGAUUCUCAAAGCAGGAAGCCACAGAUAGAGUCUUAGAACCAUAAGAAAAAAGAAUUUCAAAAUCAACAUCGUGGAAUUUCUGGAAUCCUAGACUCUCAUCACAAUUAGGAUCUGUAGAUUAAUUGUCCCAGAAUCUUGGCUUCCUGUGGGGCCUAGAAUCCUGACUCUGAGGCCUCGCUCACCUGUAAGAUGAGGGUGUUAUAUUAUCCCAGCCAUUCUUUUGUUUUUUAAAAUUUAUUUUUAUUUUUAUAUUUAUUUAUUGUCUGCGUUGGGUCUCUGUUGCUGCACGUGGGCUUUCUGUAGUUGCAGCGAGCGGGGGCUAUUCUUCGUUGCGGUGUGCGGGCUUCUCAUUGUGGUGGCUUCUCUUGUUGCGGAGCACGGGUUCUAGGGUGUGUGGGCUUCAGUAGUUGUGGCUCGCGGGCUUUAGAGUUCAGGCUCAGUAGUUGUGGCACAUGGGCUUAGUUGCUUCGUGGAAUGUGGGAUCUUCCCGGACCAGGGCUCGAACCCAUGUCCCUGCAUUGGCAGGUGGAUUCUUCACCACUGGGCCACCAGGGAAGUCCUAUCCCAGCCAUUCUAAUGUGCUAAGCUUUGUUGUGACAGCCUCCCUGUGGUGCCACUAGUGUUUGACGGGCCACCUGCCAAAAUUCCGCUUCUAGGACAAUACUGCCACCAUGUGGAGAUGUUGAAUGAGGUGGCACGGAUGGGACACCUGGGGCCACUCCUAGGUCCCUCACCUGCAGUAAGUGCCCAGCUGGGCACAGCUGUGGGUGGAACAAGCCUCAGCACCUCCCCAGCCUUUGGCGUUCCCAAGUCUUGAGCACAGAUGAUCCUCCUCCUGGUAAUGGCAGUGACCUCAGUCCCGGCUGGUCUGCAUUAGGCAAGCUGGGUGAUCACUUGGUCCCAGAACCAUUUGAGAAGCCAUGUUACCAUCCUCAGGACAUGAGUCAGAGCUGAGGCCUGGAGGAGUUGAGCGCAAGAUCCAUGGGGCUGGCAUUCAGAGGGUUAGGGUUAGGGACUGGGUGCCUCCUACACAGCAUCUUUCCUGCCUCCCUGUAGCCCAGGCUCACAGCCUGCAACUCCCUCUGCACUCGAUUGCCCUCUCCUUUGGUGCACUGAACCUUCAGCAUAACCUUCGGUGCCUCCAUCAGUGAUGGUGGGGGAAGAAUAUGCACCAUCGGCUGCCAUCUCCCUGGGCUGAGCGAGGCUGGGGUGUUACCUUCCCACACCUCCAGGUCGUGGUCAGUGGGUCAGGAAAGGUGAGGCGUGAUCAUGGGAGGGAGGGGAGGGGCGCUGAGGCUGUCCAAGGUCUUCUCUGACCACUCCCUUCCCCUCUUGCUGUUCUCUGGCUCCAAUGAGACUUGACAAAAUGUUUCCUACGAGGCCAUCAGCCUCUUGGUGGGCCUUUUCCCUACCUCCCUGCUCUUCAGAGCCUUUCUACCUAGCAUCCCCACCUCCCCCUACCAGUGCAGCUCCUUCUGCCUGCUCUCAAUAGGUAUCCCUCCUCUCUCAUGUUGUCCAGAGGGUUGUACUGGGAAAUCGAGGACAUCAGCGUUCCCCAUAUGACCUGCUGUGGGGCUUCCAUCUCUCCUGCCUCAGAGGAUGAAAUUUCCACCAGCCCAGUUCAUCCAGAAGUUUCAGCAGACAUUUGUUCUCGUUGUCUUCAGGCUCUUCUCUCUCUUAAAUCUUCCGCCUGCCCUCUAGACCAGCUCUUUCCUCUUAGUCUAGGAGAUAGAUGCUAUUUUAAAUGAUAUUGUUUCUUUCAAUUUCUAUUUCCAUUAUUUGUUGCUAGUACAUAGAAAUACCAUUGAUUUUGAGUACAUUGAUCUUGUAUCCUUCCUAAACUCACUUGCUAGUUCUAGUGUGGUUUUUUCAUAGAUUCUGUAGGAUUUUCUCCAUAGACAAUGGUGUUGUUUGUGAAUAAAGACAUUUUUACUUUUGCCUUUCAAUUCCGGAUGCCUUUCAGCUCUUGCUUGCCUUGUUGCAUUGGCUAGAAACUCUAAGACAAUUUUGAAUAAAAGUGGUCAGAGUAGAUAUCCUUGCUUUGUUCUUGAUAAUGGGGAACAGGCCCACAGUGUUUCAUUUAAGUAUGAUGUUAAUGGUAGGUUUUUCAGAGAUGUCCUUUAUCAGGUUGUGGAAGUUCCCUUGUGUUCCUAGUUUGCUGAAAGUUUUUAUACAAAUGUCAUAAUUUGUCAAUUGAUUUUUCUGCAUCUAUUGAGACAAUUAUAUGGUUUUUAUUUUUCAGUCUGUUAUUUUACUGAGUUAUAUUAACUGAUGUUCAAAUGUCAAACCAACUUUGCGUUUCUGGGGUAAAUCUCACUUGGUCAUGAUGUAUUGUCCUCUUUAUAUAUUGUUCAACUGGAUAUGCUAAAACUUAAUUAAGAAUUUUCGCAUUUAUGUACAUGAGGGAUAUUGGUCUGAUAUUUUCUUUUUUUUAUAAUAUCUUCUUCUGAUUUCGCCAUCAGGAUAAUGCUGGUCUCAUAGACUACUCAUGAGUGUUCCCAAAUCUAAUUAUCUAGAAGAAUUUGUGGAAUAUUGCUAUUAUUUCUUUCUUGAAUGUUUGGUAGAAUUCAUCAAUGAAGCCUUCUGUGCCUAAAGUGUUCUCAGGAAGAAAAGUUUUCUAU